AACGAACGCUGGCGGCGCGCCUAAUACAUGCAAGUCGAGCGAGAAGGUGUAGCAAUACACUUGUAAAGCGGCGAACGGGUGAGGAAUACAUGGGUAAUCUACCAUCGAGUGGGGAAUAACCAACCGAAAGGUUGGCUAAUACCGCGUACGCCUCCGAGUCUUCGGGUUCGGAGGGAAAGCUGCACUGUGAGUGUAGCGCUCUUUGAUGAGCUCAUGUCCUAUCAGCUUGUUGGUAGGGUAACGGCCUACCAAGGCUUUGACGGGUAGCUGGUCUGAGAGGACGAUCAGCCACACUGGCACUGCGACACGGGCCAGACUCCUACGGGAGGCAGCAGUAAGGAAUAUUGCGCAAUGGGCGAAAGCCUGACGCAGCGACGCCGCGUGGGGGAUGAAGGUCUUCGGAUUGUAAACCCCUUUCGGGAGGGAAGAUGGAGCGAGCAAUCGUUCGGACGGUACCUCCAGAAGCAGCCACGGCCAACUUCGUGCCAGCA
rnacentral:rRNA from 1 species